rnacentral:rRNA from 1 species
GACGAACGCUGGCGGCGUGCCUAAUACAUGCAAGUCGAACGAACCGCGACUAGGUGCUUGCACUUGGUCAAGGUGAGUGGCGAACGGGUGAGUAACACGUGGGUAACCUACCUCAUAGUGGGGGAUAACAGUCGGAAACGACUGCUAAUACCGCAUAGGACAUAGGAUCACAUGAUCCAGUGAGGAAAGGUGGCGCAAGCUAUCGCUAAGAGAUGGACCCGCGGUGCAUUAGCUAGUUGGUAGGGUAAAGGCCUACCAAGGCGAUGAUGCAUAGCCGACCUGAGAGGGUGAUCGGCCACAUUGGGACUGAGACACGGCCCAAACUCCUACGGGAGGCAGCAGUAGGGAAUCUUGCGCAAUGGACGCAAGUCUGACGGAGCAACGCCGCGUGAGUGAAGAAGGUCUUCGGAUCGUAAAGCUCUGUUGUUAGAGAAGAACAGCGCAUAGAGUAACUGUUAUGCGUGUGACGGUAUCUAACCAGAAAGCCACGGCUAACUACGUG